UUCUGAAGAUCAUGUGUCUGUCAUUUAUUCUGUAAUUCACAUCCUUUAAACAAUUAUAACAGCGUGUAUUAUCUCAAUCUAUCAACUAGGAUACAUUAUUUUAUUUGGCUUAAUAAUAUAUUACUGGUAUUUAGUGCGACCGUGCACCUUUCGGUUGCCUCGAGUGUUUUCUAUAUAGCAAUCUUUAACUCGUCAUGUUGCGGGAUUUUCAAAUUCGAAAAGAAGAAGAACAGCAUGAUUUUCGAUUUGGUGACCGUAUUACUUACAGAUAAUUAUACAAUACAUAACCUUACACAAUCAAUUUACUUUUUAUGAUUAUUCUGAUAUGCAUGCCCCAUAUAUGUUAUUCCCAAAACCUUUAAAAAGGAGGAAUCCGGGUCAGGUCGUGCAAACCCAAUUAUUUUUUAUUGUGAAUAAUUACAAACUGCGCUGAAGUUUUUAAUGAUUAUUGGAUAAUUGACCUGUUCUAUAGGUACAUGUACCUAACUUACCAGGUGACAAUACAAGUUGAACCCUUGACAUUGGUAUAAAUUCAAAUGCUUAGUGAUAUAUAAAAAAGAAGAUGUGGUAUGAUUGCCAUUAUUAUAGGCAUUAUGGACUUUGCUCAUUGUUGAAGGUUUGUACAGUGACCUAUAGUUGUUAAUGUCUGUGUCAUUUUUAGAGUCUCUUGUGGAUAGUUGUCUCAUUGGGCCAAAGGGACAACUGUCCACAAGAGACCAAAAUGGCCAAUGAGACAUGUCCACAAGAGACCAAAAUGACUUAGCUGCGGAACCGUAGCUCAUAGGUCCUUAUGUUAUUUUUGACUAUUUGCAGACCAUAACAUAAGGACUUAUGAGCAUAGAUGGUCCGCAAAUAGUCAAAAAAUAACAUAAGGACCUACAUGUAUGAGCAUAGAAGGUCCGCAAAUAGUCAAAAAAUAACAUAAGGACCUAUGAGCUACAGUUCCACAGCUAAAAAUGACUCAGACAUUAACAGCUAUAGUCACCAUACAGCCGUCAACAAUGAGCAAAAGCCCAUACCGCAUUGUCAGCUAUAACAGGCCUCGAUAAGUACCGAUUAUCAGAUUACAAAUGUAUCUGCAUGUUGAUAUCGUAAAAUAUCAGCUGCAAGACAUCAUAUGAAGCUUUUUGACGAGUGAGCAUAGCGAAGGAGAUCAAAAAGCAUUCAUAUGAUGUCAAGCAGCUGAUAUUUUCCAAUAUCAAUAUGCAGAUAAUCUGAUAAUCAAUUUAUCAGGCUAUAUUUGCGUGUUUCAGAAGUGUCUUCUUUGUUUCACCAGCACACACAAGAUGACUUGAUAAGUUCGGGUCAAAGUUAUUAACGUCGGUUCAAACAUUAUGACGUCGCUGAUAUGUCAGGGUCAAAGUUAAUAAGGCCGGGUCAAUGUAUUUGACGUCACAAAGACAUGAUACGGAAGAAUAUUAAGAGCUGAACAGAGUGAUAUAGACAGUGGGACGACCGAUAAGACAUAUGUAAAACAAUUCAAACGAGAAAACUUAAGAUAUGUGCAUUGUUCAUCAUGUUCAUAUUGAAUAUGAAGAUUAAUAAGAUUAAAGUAAACAAUGUGGUAUGUUUCCAAAAUAAAAGCUAUCCACCAAUGACCAACUGAUGUCGAUGCAAGUACUAGCCAUACAAAUGAUACAUACAUGUUGGUCACCAUACUUCCUUCAUUUAUAUUAUGACUAUUGAGUAAAUUUUUGCAAACAUGGCAAACCUGUACAUGUACAUGCUGUUUAUAUACAUAUUACUACAGUUCAAUGACUCAAGUUUUAAAUGCAUAAGCUUAAGGUCAUAACAGAAUUUAAACUAACUAUCAUAAUUGUAUGAACAUCAUGAUGAAUAUUUACAUUCUCUCAAAGAGUUUUAAUUUUACUUAGCUAAUACAGAAGAUGAUGGAUUCCCCAACAGAAAUCUUGAUGAUCGAACGAUUAAGGUGAAAAAAUUGAAGAAUUGCAUCAAUUGUUACAGAGAAUCGAUUUGCAAGCAGAAACAGAUGCUCAAAGUAAGUAGCUGUUCAUGAUGCUUAUAGGCAUAUAAAAUCUAGUCUUGGCAUGUAAAACAGCAGCUGGUUCUAUUUUGAAAAUCUACAAAAUAGAACUAAGGUCCUUUAAGCCAAGAAACUGCUAGUGUCUGAAGAGGACAAUUUAAGACAGGACAUGAAAAUUGAUUUAAUGUCAAGUUGGAACAGUGAUUCUGUAAAUAAACUCGCCUGAUCACAAGACCUCGGAUUUGACUGAAUCUUACAUGGAUAGACCAAAGUCAUUUACUAGACUGUAAAUAUUAGAGGCAGCUGAAAGCACAAGGCACAAAGCUGAGGUCCAAGUAAAUCAGAGAGGCCUUGUCACAAGAAAUGUACAGAAUUUGCAUGGUUUUUUUCCUUAAGGGUAUAUGACAAAUUAUUGAGAUAUAUGUCAAUGAAAAUUACUUUGAAUUUAAAAAAGGGCCAAUUCAAUGGUACAACUUUCUGUUGACUUUACUAAUUAAUAAAAUGCUGAAUAAUAAUUUGAGUGUGACUCAUUCGAGUGUCUAGUAUUUCCUGUCAAUUUUUUUGAUGAUUUUACCAUAUUAUUUAUAAUCCCUUGGUCAAAGGGAGAUAACUUAUUGUAUUUUCACAUUAAAAUGCUGAUUAAUAAUUUGAGUGUGGCUCAUUCCAGUGUCUAGUAUUUGCUGUCAAUUUUUUGGAUGAUUUUACCAUAUUAUUUAUAAUCGCUUGGUCAAAGGGAGAUAACUUAUUGUAUUUUCACAUUAAAAUGCUGAAUAAUAAUUUGAGUGUGGCUCAUUCCAGUGUCUAGUAUUUAAUGUCAAUUUUUUGGAUGAUUUUACCAUAUUAUUUAUAAUCGCUUGGUCAAAGGGAGAUAACUUAUUGUAUUUUUACAUUAAAAUGCUGAAUAAUAAUUUGAGUGUGGCUCAUUCCAGUGUCUAGUAUUUGCUGUCAAUUUUUUGGAUGAUUUUACCAUAUUAUUUAUAAUCGCUUGGUCAAAGGGAGAUAACUUAUUGUAUUUUCACAUUUAAAUGCUGAAUAAUAAUUUGAGUGGCUCAUUCCAGUGUCUAGUAUUUGCUGUCAAUUUUUUUGAUGAUUUUACCAUAUUAUUUAUAAUCGCUUGGUCAAAGGGAGAUAACUUUUUGUAUUUUCACAUUAAAUCAUCUGCGAAGAGGAUUAUGUAAAAUGUGAAUUGUUGAAAACUAAUUUUAUGGUUCAAUAAAAUCAAAAUAAGUUACUGCCAUUCAUUAUAAAUAAAUUUCUAUCAAAAAUAAGGCUCAAAGACCUUUUUAUAUUACUAAUAUUAACAAUAACAAUGUACACACAUGUUGACGUGUUAAUACACAACGUCAGAGUGGGUGUGUCACCAUAAAAUGUAAACAUUGAAAAUAAAACUGAUACUUUUAACUAAUCAGGAGACAGUUAAUACACCAAAUAUAUUUUUAAACCUAUAUUAAAAAUUUUGAGGUGCCUAUGUUUGCUAUUUGUUAUAAACCUAUUGUUAUGGUUCUUAAACCAUCUAUACAAGUAAGCAUGUUGAUUUGUCACUUACCAUUAUUUUAUUGAUUAGUUUGAAAUUGAUGAGGUUCUUCGAUGUAGAACUGGACUUAUUUAAACAAAAAAUGUAUUUAAACAAAAAAUGUUUUGUUUAUUUGUUUGAUAGUAAAAUUGUAUAACAAACAUUUGACAUUUUAUUUAAUUUAUCAUCAAAACA